rnacentral:lncRNA from 1 species
GGCUCCAAAUCAUUUUACCUUAGUGUAUGUGUUUGUGUUCUGUCUUCCUCUAAACUUUUGCACAUCAUGACUUUGCCAUGGAAGCACCGUCAAUGAUAUGUGUAUUCAUGCUAGUGGUCAAAAUCAAUGGUAUGUGUAUUCAUGCUAGUGGUCAAAAUAAAAUAAGAAAACUGUCCCUGGUUCCAGUAAUCUGCAGCUGUGUGUCCUUGAUGUUAUAAUUCAACUUAACUAAUGAUGCUUGGCAUAACGUUUACAUUAGCUACCUGGAAACUUUUCGUGUUGUGCACUAUAAUAGUUGGUUUUUUAAGUGCAUGUCAAACAGUUUCUUUGCAUGUAAUUCGCACAUUUGGAACCUGUAGCUAUAUAUCAUUGGUAACAUUUUUGGAAUUUAGGACAAUAAGAGGACCUUAUUGUGUAACAUAGUAAAAGAAGAAGAAUAUAAGGCCUGAUACUUUAUUUUAAACCGUGAGAUUACCAUGAAUACGUCUGCUCUAUUUUUCUAGUUGUUUAAUAAAUGCUUUUGGUGUUCUUAUUAGGUUACUAUUUGUGUUUACUCCAUACUUGGUCAUUGAGCUUUGGAGAGGUUUUGACAUGGGCAAAAUUUCUCAUGCAUUUGCAAGAAGGCUGUUUUCAUGCGUCAAACCAGUACCUUAAGAACAAUAUACAACCCAAGUUUAUUUACUUGUCUAAUGAUCGUCUAUUUGGCAUUAUUAUUGGAAUUGCUUUUAUAAAGACACUUUUUAGAUGGGGUGAAUUUCUAUCAAAUCCC